rnacentral:rRNA from 1 species
CAGCAGCCGCCGCGGUAAUACGGAGGAUCCAAGCGUUAUCCGGAAUCAUUGGGUUUAAAGGGUCCGUAGGCGGUCUUGUAAGUCAGUGGUGAAAGCCCAUCGCUCAACGGUGGAACGGCCAUUGAUACUGCAGGACUUGAAUUAUUGGGAAGUAACUAGAAUAUGUAGUGUAGCGGUGAAAUGCUUAGAGAUUACAUGGAAUACCAAUUGCGAAGGCAGGUUACUACCAAUUGAUUGACGCUGAUGGACGAAAGCGUGGGUAGCGAACAGGAUUAGAUACCCCAGUAGUCCCUGUCUCUUAUAC